GCUGCGAAAGCAUGGUUGACCUCAUUUGUUGUCUAGUCUUUAAUGGUGCCAUAGAAUAUUGAAAGAAAAGGCAGAAAUGCAAAAAUGUUAUUGUGAAAUUGGAAUGUCUCAUAUACAAAGAAGCAGGUGGUGUCCAAAUUGUAUUAUUCUCAUGGCCAGAAAAAAAAAAUGGAAUUUAUCUGAGGCAGGAAUGUGCUAGAGGAGUUUGAGGUAGAAAACAGAGGAAAUAAUUUCUAAUUUCCAACUAGAAAACUCUAUAAGAUUCCCCAGCUGUAAACACUGGGACAGAGAGGAUGCAGCCCAUCUCCUGGCAAUAGCCCCUAAAAGGACCCAUCAAAGUGUGAUGAUGUUGCUUAAGCCCAUUCUGAGCCAGAUUUUUAAAACAUUUCUGAAGCAUCUUUUAUGAAUACUUAAAUUUUCCUUAGGUUAACACAAUUUUAAAUGUAUUUUAGGACCACCAUUUGAGAGCAGCUUCCUCUCUUGUUUGUACUUAAGAAGUUUGAUGGAACUGGAGAUGGUUUAGCCAUUAAGAGCAGCCACCAUUUUGUUGAAGACAUGACUCUGUUCCCAGCAACCAACACAAAACUGCUUGUAACUCUAGCUACAGGGGAUUCCAUACCAUCUUCUAUGUUUCUCAUAUACUGAUACUCAGGGAGCCAUUCUGCUAAAAGACCUACUUCUUCAAGGGAAAUAAUUACAUUUAACAAAAGACAACGACUAGUGCUAUUACUAUGAACAUCUUUCUACACUGGCAACUAGAAAAAUCAUGUGGCUCCUGCUUCCUAAGCUGACUUUUUAACACUGACUUCCUAACACUUACAUAGUGAAAGAUGGCCCUAAGGUUUUUUCUUCUUGCCU
rnacentral:lncRNA from 1 species